UUUUGGUUUUACUAAUUGGGGUCAGCACUGUUUUAAUUUCCUACUUUUUAUUUUAAUGCAAGGAAUUGUGAGGAAUUUACUGUUAAUUAAAAUUAUCAUUACACUGUACCUAGGUUAAUAAUGAAGCCUGCCGGGUGACAAUCGUUUUAACAACUUAACAUAAUGUUAAUGGUGAUAACAGCUUGACAGCCAACAGCAACAACAAUUAUCCAGAACAACUAAUAUCAUUGUUUAAUUUUCAAUUCAACUAACGUAACAAUUGGUACUAGAGUAAGCAGUUAAUAUGCAUUGAUGAUUAUGUUGGACACGAAACUGAAUUGGAGGACCAAAAAUGAGGCCAAAAGAUGCUAGAGAAAAGGGAAGAGAAAGAAAAGAAAAAAGAAGAAGAAAUUAUAUUUUUCUUUGGAUUCCUUAUGUUGUUGUUAUUUGGCAUUUGCUUUAUUAUCGAUGAUUUUCUAGCCACGCGUCAAACACACCAACCCUCUUCGCUUCAUCCACUCCUACUGACAAUAUAAAUAUCAAUGAAGGCAAAGGUCGAUCCAUCUUGGUACACCUUGAAGGGCCAACAGGAGGACGAAGAGCUUGUGUUAACUUGUAGAUCAUUUUUUCCUUGAUCUAACACUCGAUUCAUAAGACGAUGAUUAUCAGUAAACACGCUAUGAAAGGUCAUCUCUAUGAACCUAUGCAGAGUAGGUUAAACAUAUAAAGUGCCUGAAGAUGAUGAUGGGGCUGAUGGGGAUGAGAAGUAGAGUGAGUGAGUGAGUAUGAGGGAAUGAGAUGAAGAGAAUGAGGGAAAGAUGAAAAGAUGAAAAGAGGGAGGUUGGAAUAUUAAAGGUGCAUUACAGAAUGGAAAUGCCUUUUAAGAUACAUUUCGCCGCAUUAAACAGAGUCUCUGCUAUAAUCAAUAGAAUGCGUUGAGGUUCUGACAAUAACAAUGUAUUUGCUUACCUUUUGAUGUUGUGUUAGUUUGGUCAAGCAGAUGGACCAUACGUUGGUCAAGAGCAUAACCUUACGGCCGCUCAGACCUUUACUUUCAUCAAUCUUCUUAAAGGUGUACAAUUUAUUUGCCAAUCAUAAUAAUAAUAAUAAUAAUCAUGAUUAAACAUUAAA